GAAAGACAGAAAUUUUCCUGAUGGUUGGUCCAAACAGGGACUCCCUGGUGGACUGAGGGAUGGCUGGCUUUUCCUCAGUUCCUGCAUCUCAGGCAGCCCCCAGAAGACCUGGAGAAUGAGAGGCCUGAGGUCUACAGGUUGCUGCUAGAAAUAUUUUAGCCCCUCCAGAAAACAGAAUGCAGCUGCCGCACAAGUUUGUAAGGACUCUGGGCGCCCGCUGACCGCGCGCUGGCCGCCUCGCACUUCGCUCCAGGUGCCCGCCCGGGGCGCUGCCAUAGCAACGGCCUGGACGCCCAGACCUUAGGCCGCCGCCGCCGGGACCCGGCCUUCUCCCGCUCCCGAGGGGUGGGGCGGCGGCGGCCCGGGCCGGGAAGACGGGACUGCCCCCUCCCCCGAUGCCGGCGGAGGCGGCGGAUUUGCUUCCAAGCAUGCCCUUUCAGAAGCACGUCUACUACCCGCUCGCCGCCGGCGGCGGCCUGGAGGCACCCGACGCCUCCGCAGCGGCCGCGGCGGGCGGGGCCGCCAUGGCCUGUGGCCCCCCCAGCGCGGCGUCGGGCCCCCUGCCCUUCUUCCAGUUCCGCCCGCGGCUGGAGAGCGUGGACUGGCGGCGGCUGAGCGCCAUCGACGUGGACAAGGUGGCGGGCGCCGUGGACGUCCACGAGAAGUGCCCUCACUGCCAGUCAGGCGUGGACCCGGUGCUGCUGAAGCUCAUCCGCUUGGCGCAGCUCACCAUCGAGUACCUGCUGCACUCGCAGGAGUUCCUCACCUCGCAGCUGCACGGCCUGGAGGAGCGGCUGCGCCGGAGCCUGGCCGAAGGCGAGCACAGCAAGAAGCUCCUCACCAAGCAGGCCGGCGAGAUCAAGCUGCUCAAGGAAGAGUGUAAACGCAGGAAGAAGUUGAUCUCCACCCAGCAGCUGAUGAUCGAGGCCAAAGCCAGCUAUUACCAGUGUCAUUUUUGUGACAAGGCCUUUAUGAACCAAGCUUUCCUACAAAGUCAUAUUCAGCGCCGUCACCCUGAAGAUUCGCAUCUUGAGUAUAAGGCAAGGGCUCAGACGGACAAGCUCCAAAGUGAGAUCGACAUGUUGAAGGAGCAGCUGCAGCUCACCAAGUCUCAGCUAGAGGCUGCACAGCAUGCCCACGCAGUCAGGCUCUCUAAGGAAUAUGAAAUGCAGAAAACAAAAGAGGAAGAAUUUCUGAAGUUAUUCGAUAGAUGGAAAGAAGAAGAAAAGGAGAAACUAGUUGAUGAAAUGGAAAAAGUCAAGGAAAUGUUUAUGAAGGAGUUUAAAGAACUGACUUCUAAGAACUCAGCAUUAGAAUACCAAUUGUCAGAAAUCCAGAAGUCCAAUAUGCAGAUCAAGUCUAACAUAGGCACGCUAAAAGAUGCGCAUGAGUUUAAAGAAGAACGUCCACAGCAUCCCCAGGAUUUCCAAAAUGUGAUGCAGCUACUUGACAAUCAGGAAAGCAAGUGGACAGCUCGUGUUCAGGCUCUUCAUCAAGAACACAAGAAAGAAAAGAGCCGGCUCCUGUCACAUAUAGAGAAACUUCGAACUUCAAUGAUAGACGAUCUAAAUGCAAGUAAUGUCUUCUAUAAGAAAAGGAUAGAAGAGCUAGGGCAGAGGCUCCAGGAACAGAACGAGCUGAUCAUCACUCAGAGACAGCAGAUUAAAGAGUUCACCAGUAAACCGUUAAACAGUGUCAGUGAACCCAAAGGGAAUCUUUUAACCUGGCAAACUUUUGAACCUAAGCCAACUGCCCCAACUGUACCAAUGAAUGCCCCAGCCCCCCAGACACUGGAUGCGAAGUCGAGUCUAACAAUGGCACAUGAACAGGCAUUCUCAUCGCACAUACUGGAACCAAUAGAAGAACUUUCAGAGGAAGAAAAAGGAAGAGAAAAUGAACAGAAAUUAAAUGACAACAAGAUACAUAUAAGGAAAACUUUGAAGAAUAACCCUUCCCUCACUAAGGAAAUAAGAACCGUCUUGGAGCAGAGUUUGGUGGAGAAACUGGAAACCUUGGGAAUUAAUGCAGAUAUACGUGGUAUUCCAAGCGAUCACUUGAAUAGAGUGCUAAGAACUGUAGAAUCAACAAGACAUGAGCGAGAAAGACAAAUACCUAACAUUCAGCAAAUUCGAGAAUUCCUUGAACAUCAGGUCAGCUGUAAAAUUGAAGAGAGAACACUGCUGUCCACAGACAGGUAUGGUGCUUCUCAAAUGGACACCCUUUCAACUGGAGAACUACCCAAAGCAAUACACCUUCCUCCCAAAAGCAGACAGCUGAUUAGACAAAGACCUGUUUUUUCUGAUAGAACAUCCGUUCCAAAAGUUAAGAAAAAUGCCACAGAAGAUCAUUUUCCCAGGAGGUCUUCCACUAUUGUGACUCCUCCCUUCAGUUCCGAGGAGGAGCUGGAUGCUGACGACCUCAUCCAGGCGUUCACUUCCCCAGAUGUACUUCCUGUGCUGUCGUCUAAAAGCAACAAGAGUAGUUUUGGAAAGAGCGCUGUCGUCAAAAGCGACACUGACUGGACCGAGGGAAGUGAAAUUGAGGACUCUGAUAUUUCCCCCAAGCCCACAGGAACCUCCAUUAAAACAUUAACUGGAAAAGUUGAAAAGACGGUUUCAAAUCACAGAAAUAUGAAUAAGCCAGUUGGUGGAAUUAAUGUUGCUGACAUGUUCAUCAAAAAAGAACUAAAAGAAGAUCUAAAGUGUACAGAUGUGGAUGAUGAUGACUGGGACAUAUCAUCCUUAGAGGAAGACAGAUCUAUAGGAAGAAAAGCUGGGAGAGAACAGAAGGAACCUCCUCCACCUGUGAAGAAUGAGUCAAAUUCUACUCAAGUGCCAAAUGCCUGGGGUGCAGCUAACCCGAAAGGACUCAAGGGAGAAGGACCUCAGGAUGAGUCCAGUACACUGAAAAGCAGCUUAGUAACCGUGACUGAAUGGAGCGACUCUUCAGACGUGUAACCGUCACCCUGUGCGUCAGGAGGUCCGUCCAGACUUCAGCAGUAUUUGGUAUCGUGCUAUUUCAGCACUGCCUACGCAACUAUGAUUGUCCUGCCUGACAGUAUCUCCUGCAAUAACAAGGAAACCGGCUCUCAGAGAACAAGAGUCUCUUUAAUGGCACCUAAUACAGUGUUAAAAACACAUACACACAAAUUGUCAACAGUAUUUUGAAGCAUAUAAAGGUGUUUAAGAAUGCUGCUGCUGCUUAAAAAUAAUGUGUCAACCGAAGUCAUAAAAAGUUUUUUCUUCAGAACAGUACUCUA
rnacentral:lncRNA from 1 species